UCGCUGGCGGUCCAGUGGCUGGACUCUGUACUCCCAAUGCAGGGGGCCUGGGUUCGAUCCCUGGCCAGGGAA
rnacentral:tRNA from 1 species